rnacentral:tRNA from 1 species
GGGCGGGUGGCGAAAUGGCAGACGCGACGGAUUCAAAACCCGUUGGGCAACCCCCGUGAGGGUUCGACUCCCUCCCCGCCCA